rnacentral:other from 1 species
AUUGACCUGUUGAUAUCGUCUUCAUUUAUUAUAAAACUGACUAAUUAUACGAUAAGGGAAUCUAAAGUAUAGCUGGUGUUGAAUGACCACAUUUUAUGUGGUAAUCCUAAAGGUUAUAUGGGGAUGCCCACCUGUUUUAAGGCAGGUUUAUAUCGUACUUGGAGACGACUCGAUGGGUUAUAU